rnacentral:tRNA from 2 species
GGGCAGUUAGCUCAGUUGGCAGAGCGCCACCCUUACAAGGUGGAUGUCGCAGGUUCGACCCCUGCACUGCCCACCA